rnacentral:rRNA from 1 species
UAUCAAUAAGCGGAGCAAAAGGGUCCCUGCAUAACACUAAGCGGAGCAAAAGGGUCCCUGCAUUGCACUAAGCCGGUAGCAUAUGGGUUCCUUGCAUACAGAGAAGUCGCAAUACGAGGUGAGAAUCCCGUGCGAUGAGGUGUCCAUUUCUAUGUAAGAUGUUUUCGAAGAGUCGAGUUGUUUGGGAAUGCAGCUCUAAAUGGGUGGUAAAUUCCAUCUAAAGCUAAAUAUUGGCGAGAGACCGAUAGCGAACAAGUACAGUGAUGGAAAGAUGAAAAGAACUUUGAAAAGAGAGUGAAAAAGUACGUGAAAUUGUUGAAAGGGAAGGGUAUUAGAUCAGACUUGGUAUUUAGUUAUCAUUACUCCUUGUGGGUGGUGCUCUAACUUUUUACUGGGCCGGCAUCAGUUUUGGUGGCCGGAUAAUGACAUUUGAAUGUGGCUCCUCCCAAGUGUUAUAGCUUUUGUUGAUACUGCCUAUCGGGACUGAGGUCUGCGGCUUUUGCCUACAAACUGGGGAAUGAUCCAAUAACU